GAGUUUGAUCAUGGCUCAGAACGUACGCUGGCGGCACGCCUAACACAUGCAAGUCGAACGAAGUAGCAAUACUUAGUGGCAGACGGGUGAGUAACAUGUGGGUAUCUACCCUUUGGCCUGGAAUAACACGAGGAAACUUGUGCUAAUACCGGAUAAGUCUUUACGGAGAAAGCUUUAUGCACCAUUGGAUGAGCCCGCACUUGAUUAGUUUGUUGGUAGGGUAAUGGCCUACCAAGACUAUGAUCAAUAGCUGAUUUGAGAGGAUGAUCAGCCACAUUGGGACUGAGACACGGCCCAAACUCCUACGGGAGGCAGCAGUGGGGAAUCUUGCACAAUGGAGGAAACUCUGAUGCAGCGAUGCCGCGUGAGUGAAGAAGGCCUUUGGGUUGUAAAGCUCUUUCGUCGGGGAAGAAAAUGACUGUACCCGAAUAAGAAGGUCCGGCUAACUUCGUGCCAGCAGCCGCGGUAAUACGAAGGGACCUAGCGUAGUUCGGAAUUACUGGGCUUAAAGAGUUCGUAGGUGGUUGAAAAAGUUGGUGGUGAAAUCCCAGAGCUUAACUCUGGAACUGCCAUCAAAACUUUUCAGCUAGAGUAUGAUAGAGGAAAGCAGAAUUUCUAGUGUAGAGGUGAAAUUCGUAGAUAUUAGAAAGAAUACCAAUUGCGAAGGCAGCUUUCUGGAUCAUUACUGACACUGAGGAACGAAAGCGUGGGGAGCGAACAGGAUUAGAUACCCUGGUAGUCCACGCCGUAAACGAUGACAACUAGCUGUUAGAAGACUAUGUCUUUUAGUGGCGCAGCUAACGUUUUAAGUUGUCCGCCUGGGGAGUACGGCCGCAAGGCUAAAACUCAAAUGAAUUGACGGGGACCCGCACAAGCAGUGGAUCAUGUGGUUUAAUUCGAUGCAACGCGAAAAACCUUACCUACUCUUGACAUACUUGGAAGCUCUUGUAAUGAGAGUGUGCUUUUAAGAACCAAGAUACAGGUGCUGCAUGGCUGUCGUCAGCUCGUGUCGUGAGAUGUUCCGUUAAGUCGGAUAACGAGCGCAACCCUUACCCUUAUUUGCCAGCGAUUCGGUCGGGAACUAUAAGGGGACUGCCGGUGAUAAACCGGAGGAAGGUGAGGACGACGUCAAGUCAUCAUGGCCCUUACGAGUAGGGCUACACACGUGAUACAAUGGGAGAGACAGACGGACGCUAAGCCGCGAGGUGGUGCUAAUCCUAGAAACUCUCUCGUAGUCCGGAUUGGAGUCUGCAACUCGACUCCAUGAAGUUGGAAUUGCUAGUAAUCGCGGAUCAGCAUGCCGCGGUGAAUACGUUCUCGGGUCUUGUACACACCGCCCGUCACACCAUGGAAGUGGAUUGCACCAGAAGUAGAUAGUCUAACCUUAGGGAGGGCGUUUACCACGGUGUGCUUAAUGACUGGGGUGAAGUCGUAACAAGGUAACC
rnacentral:rRNA from 1 species